rnacentral:rRNA from 1 species
AUGCAUAUGUCUUGGUCCAGUUCACGUGAGCUUUUCCGAUGGUCUUCUAGAUUUUCCGCGAUUGCUGCAUGGGCCAUGCAUGUCGCCACGUUUGCCAGUUUACUGAUGGACACGUUGCCUUCUAGGGUUUUCUGGUGGGCUUCAUCUUUGUUUUUUCUUUGCUUUUGGCUGCCUAUAAGUAAUUGGCCUGGUGUUGGUUCACCGUCUCUGCAAGAAAUCAUCCAACCCUCUAUCCCAACCCAGCACUAUGCCGCCGCCGCCCCCUAUCCUCUUUCUCUAUACGGGCGCGCAGCCUCAUCCUCCCCCAACCUGGUCGCCGGCAGCCCCUGCGUCAGGCCCUCUGUUCCCCCCAGCGAGGCCGAGAUGGUAGCACGGCGCGCAGCCCCAUCCUCCCCAGCCUGGUCGCCGGCCAGCCCCUAG